ACACCUCGAGGGCUUCCCGGAGGCGCCCCCCAGACGCCAGGGCGUCGGCCUGCGUGAGCAGGACUUUGCACUCCGGCGUCGAGGCCCUCGGAAGCCGUUCCUGCGGCGGCGGCCGAGUCGGUAGAGAGAAAUUUACUUCUGGAGACUGGGAAGUCCAAGACCAAGUGCUGGCAGAUCCAGUGUCUGAUGCAGAUUUGGGAUGUGCCUUGCUCCCUGGACCACCUUGACAAGGGACAGUAUUUGAACAGACCGUACUGAACACUGCAGUGGACAUUCUGACCCUACAUGGGAGUGUGCAGAGGGACAAGAGGAAACCCAGCUAGAAUAUGUCAUACCUUUGCCCUGGGUUGUUCACAGAGAGAGUGGGCAUGCAGAUAAUUAAGGGUUAACAGUCCUACACUUGGGAAGGACUGGUAACAGCUCUGGGAUGGAAGAAUCCAGUCAAAGCCAGGGAGCUGCAGUGAGGAAUGAGCAACACCGCCACACACACCCUCUCUCUCUCUCUCUCUCUCUCUCACACACACACACACACACACACACACACACACACACACACUCACGCUAUGCAUGGAAGCUUGGCCAAAGCACUUACUUGUUCUUUACUUGAGUUUCUCAUUUUAUAAACUGGAGGUGAUCCAUCGAUUAUGUAGUCCUUAGAGGAAAAAAAAUUAGGCAUGGUGGGCAUUAAAGACAUUGACAUGAAAAAGGCUGCCCCUUGCUAUCUAGAGUAGCCAAAAAAUCCAGAGCUAAAAGAAACUUUACAGAUCAGCCCUGGUUUCACAAGUGAGGGAACUGAGGGCUACAGAAGGCAAGCGACUUGCUGCAGGUCACAAUGGGAGUUUGUGACAGAGCCAAGAUUGGAAGCUAGGGCUCUUGCCUCUUUGUUUAAAGUUCUUUCCAUGUGACCAGAGAGCUUCCAAAGGACACAGAACGUCUCCCAAAUAAAUAAGAAAUUAUUUCAGAUUUCCAAAUUACAAGAUAUGCCAUUCAACAAAUAUUUAUUGAAGAGAUACUAGGUGCUAAUGGAGCUGGCAUUUGCGGGGCAAUAAGAGAAGGGUAGGUCAUGGUUUUUACCCUCCAGUAGCUAACUGAGGAAACAAGAGGCAAAGAUUUGAAACAGUUAAGUAAAAAUAACAAGCAGUAUGUGAGAAGUGCCAAAAUUGGGGGAACAGAGAGUCCAAGGGAGAGCUCAAAGGAGACAGAACGCAAUGCUUCCCAUCUCGUAGCAAAGGUUCCUUUAAGCUGAGUUGGAGAGGAUUUACAUAGAAAAGUUAAAGACCACCCCGCUGCUCAAAUCAAGGGGGUUCCCUUCACCCUGGGGGCCACUUGGCCGGGAGAAAGGAGAAGAAAUCCAAGUAAGCCAGGCUGGGCAAGGCCCAGGAAUUUGUAUUUUUAAAGGCCACCCAUGUGAUUAUCAUGCUCAGCCAGGUUUGAAGUUCACCCGUGUAAAGGGUAAUGCAGAAUAGAUUGGAUAAGGGCACCCCACUCCUCUCCCUAGCUCAUCCAGUUUCUCUGGGGGUAGGCACCAAUAAAUCUUGUCUACAUUUUACUGAAGGGAAAACUGAGGGUCCAGAAACUUUCGAUGAUGUGUUCCAGGUCAUUCAGUAAGUAGUGGGGACUCGGUUUCCUGCCAACCAUUAGAAACAGAAAGAUCAAAAUAUACCAUCCCAAAGAAGAUUUUGCUUCAUUUCUCUGUAAGACAAGUCAGACCCGCUUGGUUAGCUAGAGAGUUCGUUACCCAGAGUACAAAAAGGAGCAAGUCUCUGGAGCUGCCAGGUGUGUGGGACAGAGCCCAGGGCGACGUUAGUUGCUGGGAGAUCGGAGUUCUAACUUUGCUGUGUGACUCAGCCCAAGCCACUUCCCCUCUCUCUUUGUCCUUCACCUAUUAAUAACGAUGCCCCACGUCACCGUUGGGAUAGCUACCAGUGAUGGAAAAUGCACAGCGCGGUUAGUUCCGAUGUGAUUCCUGGGAACAGAAGGGAUCCACAGCCAUCUGCCGAUUGUUGUGAGUAAAAUAUGUGCUGGCUGCCUUCGGAGCAGAGGCAUUUUCUUCCCAGGAAGAGGGUGGGUUAGAGGCCUGAGGCUGGACUCUGCCCUCUUCAGGGUCAUUGACCAAUGUGAGGCUCUAGAGAUCCUGGCAGAGAGCAGUCUGGUCUUAGGAGGAAAAAGAAAGAAAAGGCAGGUUAUCUGGAGGGAAAGCAGCAAACAUUCAUCAGAAGGAAAUUAUCUGAAGACUUUGGCAGGACUGGGAAAUGGUUAAAAUCAAGGCUUGGAUCUUCUUUUAUAAAUUGUGAUAAAAUAUACGAAAUGUAAAAUUUACCAUUUUAGCUAUUUUUUAGGUGUACAGUUUACUAUUAAGGUCAUUCACAUUAUUAUGCAACCAUUACCACCACCCAUCUCCAGAACUUCUUUUCAUUUUGCAAAACUGAAACUCUGAACCCAUUAAAUAACAACUCCCCAUUCCCCACCCGCUCCAGCCCUGGCCAACCACCCUUCUAUUUUCUGUCUCUGUGAAUCUGACAACUCUUGGUAUCUCAAAUAAGUGGAAUCAUAUGGUAUUCGUCCUUUUGUGACUGGCUUAUUUCACUUAGUAUAAUGACCUCAAAUGUUCAUUCAUGUUGUAGCA